AACGGCGUGCCGUGAUGUCGGAGGGUUGACCAUGCCGAGAGAUUUGUGGUGGAAACGGUUGGUCGCGGGAAAAGGAAUAGUAGCGGAAGUCGGAUGCUUCCUCUCUGUUUACUAGAUACUUCGAUCUGCUGCAAAGCUGUGGUUCUCGCAUCCGUCGGUGCUAAUGGUCGGUUUCUCUGCGUCACGGUGUCACUAGGGCAAGAUCCUCUUUUCCGGUCCCGACAGAUUUUUUCGUUUUUCCUUUGUCUCUGGUUUUCUUUGUAAACCAAAGCCCAGCCCAAUUUUGUGGGUUCUAUAACUAAUAAAAGGCCGUUUUAAAAAAAA
rnacentral:sRNA from 1 species